AGCGCACACAUCUGCUUUCUUGCCAUCC
rnacentral:piRNA from 1 species